rnacentral:rRNA from 1 species
UGGGGAAUUUUGGACAAUGGGGGAAACCCUGAUCCAGCAAUGCCGCGUGAGUGAGGAAGGCCUUCGGGUCGUAAAGCUCUGUCGGGUGGAAAGAAACGUAUAGGUGUUAAUAGCAUUUAUACUUGACGGUACCGCCAAAGGAAGCACCGGCUAACUCCGUGCCAGCAGCCGCGGUAAUACGGGGGGUGCAAGCGUUGUUCGGAAUCAUUGGGCGUAAAGAGCGUGUAGGCGGCUGGAUAAGUCAGAUGUGAAAGCCCUGGGCUCAACCCAGGAAGUGCAUUUGAAACUGUUCGGCUAGAGUAGGGGAGAGGGAAGUGGAAUUCCUGGUGUAGAGGUGAAAUUCGUAGAUAUCAGGAGGAACACCGGUGGCGAAGGCGACUUCCUGGCCCUAUACUGACGCUGAGACGCGAGAGCGUGGGGAGCAAACAGG